UUCCCAAAGCCUUCCACCAUUGUUACUCACUUUAAGCUUAAAUUUCCUUAAAAUCUCACCAUAUUUCCCAUAAUUAGCUUCAUAAAAACUGAAUAUCUACCCUAGCUAGAGUGCUUGGAAGUAAAAAGGAAGCAAGAAUCUUGAAGUUGGCAAGAAAGAGACUUGGCUAAAUUAAGGUACUGGAGAUCCCGAUCGUGAGCCCAGUAGACCACAGACUGGGUGAGUCCAUCUGACAGUUCUGCUCAGUGUCCGUGUCACCUCACUACCUGCAGUGCAUCGGUAGGGCACUAGGUGUCAUUUUGUCAUUUUGAUAUUUUGUAGCAGAUUUGUAUUUUCUCAUAUGUAUUUGAACUCAUGUAAUAUAUUUUGAUGGUUAUGUAAAUAAUGAAAGUUAUGACUAUGAAUGCAAGAUUUAAGCAUGUAUUUAUUGCUUGUAUAUGAGAAAUGGAUGUUGAGAAAUGAAAAGGUUGUUGAAACCUGAAACUGAAAAAUUGUUGAAACCUUGA